rnacentral:rRNA from 1 species
AUUGAACGCUGGCGGCAGGCCUAACACAUGCAAGUCGAACGAGUGGCGGACGGGUGAGUAAUGUCUGGGAAACUGCCUGAUGGAGGGGGAUAACUACUGGAAACGGUAGCUAAUACCGCAUACCAUCGGAUGUGCCCAGAUGGGAUUAGCUAGUAGGUGGGGUAAAGGCUCACCUAGGCGACGAUCCCUAGCUGGUCUGAGAGGAUGACCAGCACCACUGGAACUGAUACACGGUCCAGACUCCCACGUGAGGCAGCAGUGUGGACGAUUGAACAAUGGGCGCAAUCCUGAUGCAGCCAUGCCGCGUGUAUGAAGAAGGCCUUCGGGUUGUAAAGUACUUGCAGCGGGGAGGCGUUACCCUCAGAAGAAGCACCGGCUAACUCCGUGCCAGCAGCCGCGGGAAUAC